GUGCUCGCUUCGGCAACACAUAUACUAAAACUGGAACGAUACAGAGAAGAUUACCAUGGCCCCUGGGCAAGGAUGGCACGCAAAUUCGUGAAGUGUUCCAUAUUUUU
ensembl:snRNA U6 U6 spliceosomal RNA